rnacentral:pre_miRNA from 8 species
UCGGGGCCGCCGCGGACGGAAGGGCGCCUCUGCUUCGUCCGCUCGGCGGUGGCCCA